GUAGGUGGCAAGCGUUGUCCGGAGUUACUGGGUGUAAAGGGCGUGCAGGCGGGAAGAUAAGUCAGAUGUGAAAUUCCAUGGCUCAACUGUGGCGCUGCAUCUGAAACUAUCUUUCUUGAGUGAUGGAGAGGAAAGUGGAAUUCCUAGUGUAGCGGUGAAAUGCGUAGAUAUUAGGAGGAACACCAGUGGCGAAGGCGACUUUCUGGACAUUAACUGACGCUGAGGCGCGAAAGCGUGGGGAGCAAACAGGAUUAGAUACCCUGGUAGUCCACGCUGUAAACGAUGGAUACUAGGUGUAGGAGGUAUCGACCCCUCCUGUGCCGCAGUUAACACAAUAAGUAUCCCACCUGGGGAGUACGGCCGCAAGGUUG
rnacentral:rRNA from 1 species